UCCGGUAUGGAGCAGUAGCAGCUCGCAAGGCUCAUAACCUUGAGGUCGUAGGUGCAAUUCCUACUGCCGGAA
rnacentral:tRNA from 1 species